rnacentral:rRNA from 1 species
GAUGAACGCUAGCGGCAGGCCUAACACAUGCAAGUCGAGGGGCAGCACAGAAACAGCAAUGUUUUGGUGGCGACCGGCGGACGGGUGCGUAACGCGUAUGCAACCUACCUUUAACAGGGGGAUAACGGAGAGAAAUUUCCACUAAUACCCCAUAACAUCGAUCAAGGCAUCUUGAUUGGUUGAAAACUCCGGUGGUUAAAGAUGGGCAUGCGUUGUAUUAGGUAGUUGGUGAGGUAAUGGCUCACCAAGCCUACGAUACAUAGGGGGACUGAGAGGUUAGCCCCCCACACUGGGACUGAGAAACGGACCAGACUCCUACGGGAGGCAGCAGUGAGGAAUAUUGGUCAAUGGGGGCAACCCUGAACCAGCCAUGCCGCGUGGAGGAAGACGGCUCUAUGAGUUGUAAACUGCUUUUAAACAGGGAUAAAGCACAGUAUGUAUACUGUGUUGAAGGUACUGUAAGAAUAAGGAUCGGCUAACUCCGUGCCAGCCGCCGCCGUAA